rnacentral:misc_RNA from 1 species
AUGAAAUGUAGGACGCUCUUUUUAGAGGUCCGACCAAAUCAUUUUCCUUUACUCUGUGCACACACUACUUUUUACACCAUUUUUUAUACUCAUUAGUUUAAGAAUGUAGAACAAGUCUCGAAAGAGCAAUAAAAUAAUA